CAAUAAGGAAGCCAGCUUACUAGUCCAACUGCGUGAUUUCUUCAUCCUAUAACUGGGCAUAUAAUAAAUACUAUAAUUAAAUGAGUAUGGAAAACCCUAUAUCAAGCACUUCUACACUUUAUCUAGAAACUCUUCCCAAUGUUAGUUUAAAAUCUUGCUUUCUUUGUAUCCAUUGCAUAGCGAAUGUAAGAGUAGUCAGCUGCAACAAUUAGCUGUGUGGAGCUUUCCCUGUUAUAGCUCAAAUGGACAUUAUCAUAAUUUAUGUAAAGAGCACUGUAGCAAUCCGCACACUAUAAUAAAAUUUGAUUUAUCUAUUAAUAUUUACGUAUGAAUUUAAAUUCGGAGGUUAUUAUAUGUAAUAGUACUUAUGUAUUUGAUUUUGGUUAAAAGCUCUUUUUUGUCCCAAUUUUGGUUGGGAAAAUUCGUUUUGGUCCUGUGUUGAUUUUGUGUUUAAUUUGGUCUCAAAGAACGAAUUUAAUGUUCAAUUUGGUCCUUUUCAGUAACUCCAUUAAAAUUCUUAACGACAACGUGUCCAGAUGUGCAACUGCUGAGUGAUGUGUCAUUUCUUUGCUGACUGGGAGUCCUUUUUAGCCGUUAGAAUUUUUUAAAUUGAAUUUCUUAAUCAGGGUUUUUAUUUUGGGAAUAAAUUGAAGAGGGUUGAUUCUAAAUUAGGGUUUUUAUUUUCCAAUCUUCUUCCCAUUUUUACUACAAUUUUGAAGGAUGACAACCUGAGACAGAAGCAUCUAUCUCAAGCUUUCAACAAUCCCACCUUCCCAAGAAAAUGAUAAACCCACAAAAGUGUAAAGAGUAAGAGAGAUGAAGAAACGGGAAACCCUAAAAAAAAGCAUCUUUAUCAAUGGGCUAAGCCGAAAGUCCAGCCUCACAUCUUCACGAUUUCUGGGUUUUGUUGCAGGUACCAUUGCGAGGAGACGAACUCGCAAGGUUGAACAGCGGCUCAAUUUAGGGUUCCAUGGAAAUUGGGAUUUUCUGAUUUAUGGGUUUGCAGGUGAUGAAGAUGAAUGUGCGAGAUGAUGGAGGUUCUGCUUGUGCCGCUAUGCAGAUUUCUCUGAUCAAGAUGCGAUGUAGAUGGAGGUUGCGAGGCUAACGGCGGAGCUUCUUGAAGAUGGCCAUGGAAGAUUCUCUAUCGUGAUGAAGAUGGUGAGGGCACAAUUUUGGUGGUGCUUUAUGAAGGACAACGACGAUGCUAGGUGGCUGAUGGCAAGGUGGGUAAGGUUUUGCCCAGUGGUGGUGGAGGUCGUAGGGGAAGAAGAAGAAGAACGAGGAGGCUGUUAAGAUCCAGUGAAGAAGAAAACUAUGAACCAGUGAAAAAGAUAUAAAAAAAAAUCAAAAUAACUUUAAAUGUCACCUACCACUCCAUGUCACCCAAUAAAUGACACCUCACUCAGCAGUUGCACAUCUGGACACGUUGCCGUUAACAAUUUUAAAGGAGUUACUAAAAAGGAUUUGAUUGAACAUAAAAUUGGUUCUUUGGAACGAAAUUGAACACAAAAUCAACACAGGGACCAUUUCGAAUUUUCCCAACCAAAACUGGGACAAAAAAAAAUUUUAACCUUUGAUUUUAUAUACAAAUUUAAAAAUGAUUAAUUAUUUAAAAUAAAAAUGAAAAGUUAUUUUCACGCAACCUUACUCGAAAUUUUCCUCAAGCCCUCACACUUCGAUCACCCACUCGAAAAUCUCUCGAAAAUCACUCACUCACACACACACCCUUGCUUCUUCCUUCUUCCUUCUUCGUCCUCACUCUCACUCACUUUCGCAACUGUCCUCCCUGCUCCCUGACUCUCGCUCACUGUUGCAACGGCUUCCCGUCACUCUCUCUCACUCGAAAUUGCCUCUCCUCACUCUCACUCUGCAACUACAACAUGGUUUAAUUUUUCCUUCCAGUGUCCUAACUUGCCAUGGGUGUUCAAUCGGAGCUCCUGGGUUUCAGUUUUCUUAUUUCUUAUUUCUGCCGUGAAACCUCCGGCAUUUGUCCAACAUUGUGCCAGGGAAAUUAGAAUUAACGAUUAAGAUGCUGCAAGCGUGUUUUAUUUUAAUGAAAUCUACUAAUAUUAAUUUAUUUUUGGUUGUAGAGCAGGAUUCUAGUGCUUCUGGAAAAGGUGUGUCAGCCCUGUCCAAGGAUUGAAAAAAGCAGGUUUGGGUCAUCUUUUUGACAAAAUUCAUCGAGCAACACAUCAAAUAGCAGAAGCAGCUCAAAAUUCAAAGUAAGAGGACCCUCCAGAUCAAGGACAGACAAUGGAAGUAGUUUAAGCUCUAACUCUUAUUCUCACAAGCCGUGAAUGAAGAGAACACCAAAGAAGAAAAAGAAGCAGGGAUAAAAUUUCGUUGUGAAGAUUAUCCAAUCAUUCCGUUCUUGUGGUCCGUUAAUUGUAUUAUUCGUGGUUAUUCAUGUGAGGAUUGAGUCUCAUAACGCUUUUCACUUUUAUAAAAUUAUAUUAGGUGUUGAACUAUUUGCAUUUAUUUGUCUGCAGCAAGCAGAGUCUUCGUUUAGGAUUUCUCUUUCGGUUUGAAUAUUGGAUCAAUCAUGAUAUUCAACUAGCUAGCAUCUUUGCACCUUACAAUUAAAGAAUUAAUUUAUUUGGUGAGUUUCUGAAUUUGAUGGAGACACAAGUUAUAGGUAUCUCUGGUUGGGAGUACUUUUUUUUUCUCAAUUUUUUUAGUGUUUAUUUUUUUCUUAAAUAUUCUCCAUCACUUCUAUUGGGCUCUACAGGAAAGACUUAUUAUGAAUGUUUGUUAGGUCGUGAAGGCAACGGCAGUAGAUUAUUGGAUCUCUUUUGAGGCUUUAGGUUUUAUAACUUUUCCUCUAUGUUUGAUUGGAAUUGUUUUUGUCUCUCUUGUUAGUUGAAUAGAAAGUUACGAAUGUAUGUCAUUUUGUGGCGUUGAUUCUUAAUUCUUGAUGCAACAAAUAAAAAUGUUUUUUACUUAUUUGCUGGUUUUAUUGCAGUCUUGCAUUAGAAGAUGUUCUCAAAAUAAUUAGUAGAAUUCACAAGUAGUGCUGGAAGUACCUACCAAAUAAGGAUAACAAAGCUCAAUAAUCUCAUCUCAAAGAGUCCAACAUAUUGAAAGUUGAAAUUGAAGCUAAGAUUAUGUUUUUAAGUGACUUUGUUUAAAUCAUCAAUAUUAGCCUAUGUAUUUUCAAUUGAUAUUUUCAACAUUAUGUUAGA